AUUCCAGCUCCAAAAGCAUAUAUUAACAUUGUCGCGGUUAAAAGGCUCGUAGUCUAACUUAUGGCUUUACCGAUUGUGGCCCAGGGUCCAGUAUCCUGAGUGCAAAUAGUCGGUGGUCAUCCUUUUGGAUUACACUUCUGCCCUUGAUUGGGUUGGUUGUGGAAUACAAAUCAUUUACUGUGAGUAAAUCAGAGCGUUCCAAGCAGGCUUUAAGCCCUGAAUGUUCUAGCAUGGAAUAAUACUAUAAGACUUCGGUUUUUUAUUGGCUGAAACCAAAAGUAAUGAUUGAUAGAGAUAGUUGGGGGUGCUAGUAUUUAACGGUCAGCGGUGAAAUGCAUAGACCCGUUAAAGACUAUCUCAUGCGAAAGCAUUCACCAAGGAUAUCUUCAUCA
rnacentral:rRNA from 1 species